rnacentral:tRNA from 1 species
GGUAGUGUGGCCGAGUGGUCUAAGGCGCUGGAUUUAGGCUCCAGUCCCUUUGGGGGCGUGGGUUCGAAUCCCACCGCUGCCA